rnacentral:tRNA from 1 species
UAAAACGUAAUAUAAACUAAUAUGUUUCAUUUACACUGAAAAAAUACUUAAACAUAAGUCGUUUUUA